CCUACGGGGGGCUGCAGUGAGGAAUAUUGGUCAAUGGGCGCGAGCCUGAACCAGCCAAGCCGCGUGAAGGAUGACUGCCCUACGGGUUGUAAACUUCUUUUAUAAAGGAAUAAAGUGAGGCACGUGUGCCUGUUUGUAUGUACUUUAUGAAUAAGGAUCGGCUAACUCCGUGCCAGCAGCCGCGGUAAUACGGAGGAUCCGAGCGUUAUCCGGAUUUCUUGGGUUUAAAGGGAGCGUAGAUGGGUUGUUAAGUCAGGUGUGAAAGGUUGGGGCUCAACCGUAGAAUUGCAAUUGAUACUGGCAGUCUUGAGUACAGUUGAGGUAGGCGGAAUGCGUGGUGUAGCGGUGAAAUGCUUAGAUAUCACGAAGAACUCCGAUUGCGAAGGCAGCAUACUAAACUGCCACUGACAUUGAUGCUCGAAAGUGUGGGUAUCAAACAGGAUUAGAUACCCCUGUAGUC
rnacentral:rRNA from 1 species